rnacentral:rRNA from 1 species
GACGAACGCUGGCGGCGUGCUUAACACAUGCAAGUCGAACGGAGUUAUAAGAGAAGUUUACUUUUCCUAUAACUUAGUGGCGGACGGGUGAGUAACGCGUGGAUAACCUGCCCUACAGACUGGGAUAACGCCGGGAAACCGGUGCUAAUACCGGAUACGUUCAUUUCCUCGCCUGUGGAGAUGAAGAAAGGAUAGAGCCGCUGUAGGAUGGGUCCGCGUCCCAUUAGCCUGUUGGUGGGGUAACGGCCUACCAAAGCUACGAUGGGUAGCCGGCCUGAGAGGGCGAUCGGCCACACUGGAACUGAGACACGGUCCAGACUCCUACGGGAGGCAGCAGUGGGGAAUCUUCCGCAAUGGGCGCAAGCCUGACGGAGCAACGCCGCGUGAGUGAAGAAGGUUUUCGGAUUGUAAAACUCUGUCCAUGGGGAAGAAGUAAGUGACGGUACCCGUGGAGGAAGCCCCGGCU